UCAGAAACUAAACUGCUUGCCGUUUAACAGCUCAAUAAACGCUGCCAACUACAAGUCACAUUGGCGCAGUUUACUAGCAACCCUGACGGCGUGCAAUCUAUCCAAUCAUUCAUUCGUAUCUAUCUGAGGAGAGGGAAACCAAACGACAAAAAAAGAAAAUAAAUCAAAUUUUAAGCAAUUCCUGUAAUAUUCCUUCAGCCAAAUUGAGAGAGAGAGAGAGAGAGAGAGAGAGCAAAGAAUGAGACUGUUUCGAGAGAGAGAGAGUAGACGGAAGAAAGACGGUCAGUGACUGAAGAUCACACACCUCUUCCGACAUCUCAUCGGCCCAUCUUUCCUGUAAAAGUUCCUAACUUCGCCUCAUCUCUCAAGUGUGUCUCUUCGUUUCUUAAUUUGGAAGUUAAAAAAAAAAAUUGGAAGUUUGCUGAUUUCCUUAUUUAAACAGCUGUUUGAUUUAUAGUGUUCCUCGCUGUACUUGUGGGAUCCAAACAUUGUCCGAAGAGUUUUGGUCAAACAAAUAAAAAACAUUGUCCGAAGAGUUUUGGUUAAACAAAAAUAGAAAGUAGGUUUGUUUUUGAAUAAUUCAGUUGCUAACUUCAGUUUUGCAAGUUUGUUGUUAUCACUGACGCAAUUGGGUGCCUCUGGGAGAUGGAUCAAAGCAUUGGUUGGUUUCACCAAAUCUGAUAAGUCGAAGAAGGAUGAUAAACUGGUGAAGGUGAAGAUUGCCACCAAGGACGGUUAGGGAGAAAGCAUUCAGUUGAUACGUGAAAGAAGAAAGUCUAAUACUUUAUUGUUGUUGUAUUGUUUCACUUAUGAUCCCAAGAUUCGCUUCUGUUAGCAUACAUUCACCUGCCUUCUUCACCAAGUCUUUUAAGAAACUCGUAGUCGUAGGCUUCAUCAACGCGGUCUACUCUCCAUAAAGUGUCUCUUAUACAGCAACAGCGCUUAUUCCAAGGCUGGACGCUAUACAUUGCUCUCAUUUCCUCGAAUAUUUGAGAACUGAGACCAUCCACUAGACCAGAAGAAACUUAUAUGACGGGCCGUGAAAUCUAAUUUAAUGGGCUCAUGUUUGCUUUGACUUCUUUGAGUCGGCUCAGGCUUUAACUGGGUUUCCAUGUGGGACAAACCCAAAUUUCCUCAAACACUUUUUUUGCUUAAUAUGUAUUAACAACAAAUAAUUACUCUGCUUUUGUUCUCUUGGCAAGGAGUACAGAAUGUAUAUGAAAUA